UUACACAUGCAGUCGAACGGGAUCCGGGCAGCUUGCUGCCUGGUGAGAGUGGCGAACGGGUGAGUAAUGCGUGACCAACCUGCCCCAUGCUUCGGAAUAGCUCCUGGAAACGGGUGGUAAUGCCGGAUGCUCCGCAUCAUCGCAUGAUGGUGUGGGAAAGGGUUUACCGGCAUGGGAUGGGGUCGCGUCCUAUCAGCUUGUUGGCGGGGUGAUGGCCUGCCAAGGCUUCGACGGGUAGCCGGCCUGAGAGGGCGACCGGCCACAUUGGGACUGAGAUACGGCCCAGACUCCUACGGGAGGCAGCAGUGGGGAAUAUUGCACAAUGGGCGCAAGCCUGAUGCAGCGACGCCGCGUGCGGGAUGACGGCCUUCGGGUUGUAAACCGCUUUUGAUUGGGAGCAAGCGAGAGUGAGUGUACCUUUCGAAUAAGCACCGGCUAACUACGUGCCAGCAGCCGCGGUAAUACGUAGGGUGCAAGCGUUAUCCGGAUUUAUUGGGCGUAAAGAGCUCGUAGGCGGUUCGUCGCGUCUGGUGUGAAAGUCCAUCGCUUAACGGUGGAUCGGCGCCGGGUACGGGCGGACUGGAGUGCGGUAGGGGAGACUGGAAUUCCCGGUGUAACGGUGGAAUGUGUAGAUAUCGGGAAGAACACCGAUGGCGAAGGCAGGUCUCUGGGCCGUCACUGACGCUGAGGAGCGAAAGCGUGGGGAGCGAACAGGAUUAGAUACCCUGGUAGUCCACGCCGUAAACGGUGGAUGCUGGAUGUGGGGCCUGUUCCACGGGUUCCGUGUCGGAGCUAACGCGUUAAGCAUCCCGCCUGGGGAGUACGGCCGCAAGGCUAAAACUCAAAGAAAUUGACGGGGGGCCCGCACAAG
rnacentral:rRNA from 1 species